UUCCUACGGGACGCAGCAGUGGGGAAUAUUGCACGAUGGGGGAAACCCUGAUGCAGCGACGCCGCGUGAGCGAAGAAGUAUCUCGGUAUGUAAAGCUCUAUCAGCAGGGAAGAAAAUGACGGUACCUGACUAAGAAGCCCCGGCUAACUACGUGCCAGCAGCCGCGGUAAUACGUAGGGGGCAAGCGUUAUCCGGAUUUACUGGGUGUAAAGGGAGCGCAGGCGGCGCGGUAAGUCUGAUGUGAAAGCCCGGGGCUCAACCCCGGGACU
rnacentral:rRNA from 1 species